UACGAACUGUGCGAACGUUAUUCGGAAUCACUGGGCUUACAGGGUGCGUAGGCGGCUUGUUAAGUAGGGUGUGAAAGCCCCCGGCUCAACCGGGGAAUUGCGCCCUAAACUGGCGAGCUGGAGUGAGAUAGGGGUGUGUGGAACUUCCGGUGGAGCGGUGAAAUGUGUUGAUAUCGGCAGGAACACCCAGGGGGAAACCAGCCGACUGGGCAUUGACUGACGCUGAGGCGCGAAAGCGUGGGGAGCAAACGGG
rnacentral:rRNA from 1 species